CGCAGAUCUCCCGUGUCUCCGGCGGUAAGCGUAGCUCAUCUCCCCUGGUGUGGAAGCACGGAUCUCUCAUGCCUAAACCUGCAAACUACUGGGGCAGACACUUGCCUGGAGGCAAAGAAGGAAGAGUGAUGAAGACCCGGCUGUGUGGGGGCCCUGGGAAGGGACUCUUCAGGCUCCCUGCACCCAUGUGAAGGAAAGCGUUCUGCUCAUUGCUUUAGCAGACUGCACAUGGGGAGAGGUUGUUUAUCCUGCUAAAUGAGUCAUCGGUAUCCUCUCCUGUACUCAGCCAUGGAAUGGCAGGCUUGGAAGCAAUCUCAAGGCUCCUCCAGCUCGGCCUCUUCAUUUUACCAGUGGGAC